AUACGUAGGUGGCGAGCGUUAUCCGGAUUUACUGGGUGUAAAGGGCGCGUAGGCGGGGGCGCAAGUCAGGUGUGAAAUCUAUGGGCUUAACCCAUAAACUGCACUUGAAACUGCAUCUCUUGAGUGCUGGAGAGGUAGACGGAAUUCCUUGUGUAGCGGUGAAAUGCGUAGAUAUAAGGAAGAACACCAGUGGCGAAGGCGGUCUACUGGACAGUAACUGACGCUGAGGCGCGAAAGCGUGGGGAGCAAACAGGAUUAGAUACCCUGGUAGUCCACGCUGUAAACGAUGAAUACUAGGUGUGGGGGGACUGACCCCCUCCGUGCCGCAGUUAACACAAUAAGUAUUCCACCUGGGGAGUACGGCCGCAAGGUUGAAACUCAAAUGAAUUGACGGGG
rnacentral:rRNA from 1 species